AAUGAAAAUUAUGUUUGUCUCAGCGAAUACUCUCCCUUUCUAGAGCUUUCGCAGAAGCUUUCUGUGAAGACUCCGCCCCACCAAAAUGUCUCUCUCGGUCCGACGUGCGCCACAACGAAUACAGUCGUCGAGCAACCGCAGUAAUGAGCCACUCCGAAGCACGGAAUCACGCUACCGCGGCAUUUUUCCACCAGAGAACAUUAUCAAUGUGUAGACAUUUGGAGUGAUUUGCAAUUGUAUAUUUGAUUGUGUCGCCCAAAAAGAGAGCUGUAUAUUUGCCAGCAAGUAGUGACUUAGAAUUAAAGAGUUGAGUUUCCAUUUAACUGUGGAAGGCUCAUUACAGUAUAACAACACACCAUCAUCCUUUCGACAUUGCCGCAUACGUCGCCUUGAGAGUUUCUAACAUAGAUAGCGUGAAGUACCUAUUACUACUGUAAUCAACGAAAAGUUUGACACGCUCAAAUCGGGUUCAAAUGAGUAAGUAUGAAAUACAUUUUCUGAUUUGGUCACCCUAAGAUAAAUAUAAAGACAAGAUAAAGACUGGGGCUGUCUGAACUGAAUACUUUCAUUUAGUGGUUUAACGAUUAUCGUAAACACUUCCUGAAGUUUAACAAUGUUAUGUGUGUGUUUUUUUUAUAAACUCCCUUCCCUUUAUCCAAGAUGCAAUGUGGGAGUGUAUUUUGAAACAAUCUGUUUUUAAUAUUUCAAAUUCCUAUUUUCUGACCACUUCCGCUCUACAUAUCUGUAUUAUGUACAUAUGUGUAUGUGUAAAGAAAUUUCUGCCCUUCUCAACCAUAAACACUAAAAAAUUGAUAUUCAUUUGAUAUAAUAAGGAGAUUGAAAUUUAAAGCCAAGGUUGAACUUGAAAGUUCGUGAUCGAAUUAGUUAAAAAAAAACUUUCGAAAACUCAUACGUAUACAACAAAAUAUAGAAAAAAAAGCGUUAAAAGCUGCGAAUCUUUUAACAUAAGAAAAAACACUAAAUUUUACUGUUAAAACUAAAAUCAAAACGCAUAGGUUGCAAAAUACCAUACUAAACUGUCAUACAGAUGUAUACUAAAAGCGUUAUUAUUUCCUUUUAGUUAUGGACACAUAAAGGCAAAUGAAAGUAGGGGAGACCGGGGUAAAAAUAGUCAAUUUGCGUAAAUCCUUAUCUGCAGGAUUCCCCAAGGUCAAGAAAAUUUCCUCGAUAGGUUAUUCUUAUAGGAAAUUUCCUGGCCUACAACUUUGUCUCAGACCACUUUUCUCUAUCUCCACGGGAAAUAUGAGUUUUCGAGCUUUUCCUAAACCCUUCCGCUUCUGACUUUUUUUAAACGCGGCGGGUAAAUAUAGUCACCAGUUGGCUAAAUAAAGUCGGUCGAAUUUUCCGGCAUUUCCAAUGAUUUUCCACCUGAGAGAUUGGUAGUAGUUGAUAGCUAAACUUCUCACCUUUUGAUCCGCGACAAGGAAUUUCACUUUUAUACGCACUAAAACAGAGAAUUUUGCGAUUUUCUCAAACACGCCAUUUUGCAACAAAUGAAUAGAAAAUAUGCCAAAAAUUUCGAUCUCCCAUAUGAUUUACAUGGGAUGACUAGAUCUACCCCAAGGGGUAUGUUUUGAUUCAAAAAAUUGUAGAGAAAAAUCAUUAAAAGUUAUUGAAGAAUACACCUUGGCAACAUUUUCUGUACUAAUCCAGCUAGUGAGAAAAAUUAUCAGAUGGGAAAACUGCUGAAGGAAAUGUUCGGAAAACGCGUUUUUCUAAAUACGCAAAAGUUUGGGAAAUGGGCCAAAAAUCUAUUUUCAUUUUUAACUCCUAAAGUACUGAUCGGAUAACCUCCAAAUUACUGUCAAAAAUUAUAGGUUGGUAGGGCUUUGCACCCUAAUUUUUUCCGAUUUUUCCGAUUUAUAUUUUGGGAGAAAUUGGCAUUUGAAAAUUCCAAAAUGACUAUUUUUACCCCGGUCUCCCCUAAUAAAGAAUGAAUUUUUUUUUAUUUGAAACAAAAUAAAAUAUUGUAAAUUGAUUGAAUUUUGCUGAAAACGUUACUAAAUUGUUCUUAGCCGAUUUAAUAGCCGUUUUAAAUAUGAAAUUUCUAACAGAUUGCAUUGAAUCAUUAAGGAAUCGAUAAUUCAUGACAUAAAAAAUGUGUGUUAAUCAGGAAUUUUUAUACCUAACAUUUAAUUUCUGAGAUAUAUUGAAGUUAGGUUUUUUGAGAUUGCUUCUCAACUCAAAUAAAAUUAAUUCGUUUUAAACAAACUAUAAAUUCCUAUUUUUUACUUUUCUUCAAAGAUGAUUUAGACAAAUUUUAUCAAAAUCAGUCCAGUAGAUUUUUCAAAAUAUAUAAAAAUGAGUUAAAGUUGCAUAAAAUAAAUAUUGAUUCUUUAUUAUUUAAUUAAAAAAAAGAAUUAAUAAAGUCGUUCUUGUUUUAUGUAUGAAACUUAAACAUAGUUGCUAUUUUUACACCUGUUCAAAAUAAUAACGUACCUACGUAUUAUAAUUACACUUUCUGAUUGUGUUUGAAAAAUCUGCUAAUCUGCAUAGUUGUAUAAUAAAAAUUCACUAAAAUCUCAAGGGAGAUAAAAAAAAUCAGAGGAAUUUACUAAUUUUAUUCAAAGCGCACCACACAGGGGGAAGGUAAAAAUAUUGAAUUUUUAAGCGAUAUCGACUGUGUGGAUGGUGAAUCAAGGAAAAAGAUAUUUGAUUACUAAAUUACUUAUGCACAAAACGACAAAACUUGUGGAACGAGUUUUACACUUAAUUUACAAUUUAUAUAAAAGUCUCCACACCACACGUUUUUUUUUCGUAAUAUCUUUCUCUCCUUCAUCGGAGAUCUUUCUACAAUAUUACUUCCAGAAGAACGAGAAGACGAAAAAAGACGGUUGGUGCUUAUAUAUACAUACAUAUAUGUAUGUAGAUGUUAAUAAAAUAUGUUAAUUUCCUAAAAAAGGAAUGAAAGGUGCGUGCGAUUGAAAUUUCUUUUCUCAACAUUCAAGAUAUAGAAUUUGCUCGGCAAUUUAUACAAAGCCUAUUGGACUGCUACAUUAAUUAAAUAGGUGUUAAAAUUUGCAUUGCUACUAUAAAAGAAAGAAAACAGAGGAAUUUUUAAUCAAACACGCCAGCUAUCUGUUCAAAAUAAUUCCAUUUAAUAAUAAGUUCAUUUUCAUUAACCGAAACGUUCAAUACAAUGGUUGUUCCCUUUAUCACAUAUGUAAGAAGGAAUGUUAAUGAUGGAUUGAACGUACUUGCUGAAAGUGUUGAAAAGAAUUAAAACAUUUUUUUUUCUGUGAGGAUAUCUUCGAUAUGUAUGUAUGUUGUGCACGGUUAAAGAAAAAUGUAAGGGGUGAGAAACACUAUAAAAGAAUAUGAAGUGUAGAGAAAAACAAAGAGACGCAUAACAUCUUCUUUUAAUGUGAAAUUUAAUAAAUUGGUUGUAGAUAUAGAAUAGGUAUGUACCUACUAUAUAAAAAUUCAAUUAUGUACAAAUACUUGUUAUUCUGAUAGGUCUCUGACAUCGCCAAUCAAUGGCAUUGGGCUAUAGUUACAGGUGGUUUAAUACUUCAAAUUGAAUGACGCGCUAUAAACCGCAAUGUCGAUGAAUUCUUAUAGUGCAGCACACUUAUACAAAUCAAUUACAAAAUAAUGUAAAUUAAUUUAUCACCCCUCAUGAUACACACUAAUAAAGAAAAUAAACACUAUAAGAUAUCUAUAGUAGAAAUGCUGCUAGAACACUGUUCAUCUACUGUACAAUGUGAUUCGAUCUUCAUUAGAAGAGGGAGUCCUCAUCUUCGUUUAAAUGGUUCAAGAGUGGGCGAUGAUUUAAUCGCUAUGCGCGUUUUUUUUCUUCUUCACACUUCGUCUUCUUUUCACUUGUUGUUUUACAACAUCUCUGUCUCUCUUUUAAUAUUAAUAGAAAGUGUUACGAAACAUGAUUAUUUAGUGUCAUUCGUUAUUACUGACAGAAAGGCGCAAAAAUUAAACAAACAUAACAAGCUUAACCCUUUUAGAUCCGCGAUCAAUCUAGCGAGAUGGCUGAACUAAAAAUAUAAUUUGUAUGGAUUCCUUUUGGCUCAAAUAAGACAUUUUUAGCAAAAAAUCCCAACUCAAAAAUUUUCGGUUUUUCGUCCUUCCUUAUCCUGUGAAUCCUUGAGGAUGUCCUUUUGUGGUCAGGGAUUGUAAAGACUCUUGUAUUAAUUUGUAGGGGAGACCGGGGUUAAAAAAGUCACUUAAGGGUUUAGAAAAAGCUCAAAAUAUCAUAUUUCCCAAACAGAUAAAGCGAAAUGUAUAGCUCAUUUCUUUAGGAAAUUUACUGCCCUACAACUCUUUCUCAGAUCAUUUUUUUCUAUCUAGCUAGGAAAUAUGAUAUUUUAAGCUUUUUGCAAACCCUUAAGUGACUUUUUUAGCCCCGGUCUCCCCUAUUCAAUAUUCAUAAAAUAUAACGAUACAAAAUGAAAUAUUUUCAAAAUCGAGUCUUUGGGUAAACUUAUAUUGUCCAUAAUGUGACAUUUUUAUGCCGAUUUCAUCAGAAAACAAAAGGAUAAGGAGGAUUAGGGCUAAAAGAAUCAUUAGUGCUUGAAGUUUUAAAAAAAUAUUAUGUUGGUCAUUAUUCUUUCGUCGUGAUAGAUUAGAUGCUGUUUUACAUAUCGCAAGAAAAUAAUAUUUCACGAUCUCUCUUCUCUUUUGCCAUUGCAAUAAAAUUUCAUACAAUAAUCCACACCACACAUAACAAAACCUUGCAAAGGAUCAUUAAAUAUCAGCACGAUAUACAUAAAUUUCUUAUCAGAGGCUUCUUUCAGAGUAUAUUCGAAUAUUAUAAAAAGCCCACACUGUUAAAAAUAGUGUAUAUAAAAAAAAGAAGGAAAUUUACUUAAGAAUAUACAAUUUAAAAAUCUCUGAUUCAUAUUGUAAUCUUUCUUUUGUCAAAGUAUGUACAAAAACUUUCUUAUUCAUCACUAUAGGAUCGUCCUUUGUUCACCUCGUUUGAGUAGGGAAGAGAAGUAUCUUUUCUUUCUUUGUGUCUGAAAUAAAAGACAAAUAAUUGUGUCACACAGCCAAUUAUCAUAUUAUUACAACUAUUUGUGAACAAUGCAUAGCAUAUCUCAAAUGUACAAAUAAUAAAUAUUUUCAACAACUUUUCCACUAUUCCAUGAAAUAUCUCUGAGCGAUAAGUUGAAAUACAAAAAAGAAUUUUACCAUAUUUCGGAGCCGCACGAACACGUUUUUGAUAAAAUAUUCUUAAGCUGGAAAAUGCUGCUGUUAUAAAUUAGAUAAUAAUGAUGAGUAUAAAAUGUUGCUUCGCUCCAUUUACCUUGGCUCGACCUAUUGGGAUACUUUACACUUCUUGUACAAUAAGAACUUGUCUUAAAAUUCAUAAAACUGCUAUUGUACUUUUUACAUCAGGUCCUUUAAAGAUAUAAAUAUAUUUUUAUUUGUCGCUUAUUAUUGUCAAAAAAACAUUGUUCAUAAGAAAAACCUGGAAUUAAAAUCAUUAUAUAAUCUACAUACGAAAUGAUAAAAUCCAGAUCAAUCAUAACUUAUAGCUUUACGCAUAAAAUGCAUGUAUCAUACACUUAUAAAAGUGUACAUAUAUAUGCCAAGAGAGAUUAAAAAUCCGUUGAAAUGUGUGAAAAUCACCGGGUCAAGUGAAAUGACCAUAAACUUGAAAAGUUCUGUGACGAAAAUGCAUAAUGAUGAUGGGAGAAAUGGUCCUUUUGCACGUUGCUGACUGCAUCAUGUCUAAAUUGCAAUAGAUUGGGUGGAACAGAUUGCAGGGAUUCCUGGCUUGCAUUGGUUGUGUUUUUUUUUGGCUCUUCUUGAGGCCAAUAUUCGCUCCCGUAAACGUAUAUGUAUGUCUGGCAUCUCUAGGGGGAAAAGUACUUUUAGUUUUCUUCUGCUGGGAAUCUCAUUUGCGAGUACGAUGAAAUACAUGGCAAAAGAAAGCAACGUCGUAUUCGUCACCAAAAUGACAAAAUUACAGGGUGUGACAGUUUAUAAAUAGCUUGCGCCACUUUAUUAUACUCUCCUCUUGUUCUGAAGUUUUGUCGCGCGUGUGAAGAGACUUCCACGUCGUCUUCGUUGGCGUUGGAUCCGGCGUUCCGUUGGACCUCGCCAACGGAGUGGAGGAUGAGUGCUCAAGAUUCCACAUCGUUCCUUAAUGAUUUUUGUGUGCUUUUUCGAGUGAUUUCGUCUCACAAAACAUUCCACCCAGUGAAGUACGCGCAUUUCUCGUCGUUCGAAGCCCCCAAAGGCAGAUUAUCCCAUUUGGGAUUGGGAGUGUGAGAGUGGAGUGAUAGAGUCACUGGUAAUGAGUUGUUAGGUUCAUGCAGGGAGAAGGGAGUGGUAAAAAAGUAAAACGUGGUGAUUGUCGUUUCAAAUAGUCAACUGAAAAUCACUCUGACAACCAGUUCAUUUCAUGGUGUCUCGUUCCCAGCAUUCUCCCCGCACUCUCUCAUAAUCAUUCAAACUCGCACUUGGUAACCUUUUUUUCCUGAUCGGCAUAUCAGCUUUGCCUUUCUGGAUCAACUCCCGUCCCAAGUUGGGAGUGUGUGUGCUUAUGAGCGAGCUUCCGAAUCUUUUACCACACAACACGGAGUCAGCAGACCCGUCACUUGGGGCCUCAUCCGAAUACGUCUGAUCGGUUCACCAGUCAGUCGACUCUUGGACAUGGAACAACCAACACGAAAUCGCUCAGUACAAAAAUGCAUUUACCUUGUGAAGUCGUCGACUAUAAAACACCACCCAGUGACUUUUUUGUGAUAUAUACAGCUGCCUAAGUUUUACUUAUUAGUUUUCCUUUAUAAUAUAUUUCUGGUGAAUUAUAGUUGCAGCACUCGGUCUUAUUAAUUUAUUCUCUACAAAGAAUAUCAAACAACCCCCAGAUAUCCCAUAAACAAUCGCGCAUUAAAUUAUUUAAAAAAAAAAUCAUUUUCGUUUCAUCAUCGAGCGUGUGUAUUAAAGAGUGUGUAAAAUAUUCUUUAGGAAUGGUGUCUAAAAUAAUACAAAUGGUAGUUACAAAUACGGCAAGAAUAUAAUACUUUGGUGUAUUUUAGUAGAAUAUGCCUCAAAGUUUUUUUCUUCCCCCAUCCUUACAUUUUCUUGGAGUUAAAUGAGAAAUUCUCUCGCAAUGGUUUUUAUAUGGUCUCUAUAGAGAAUAAUAAAUAGGUAUAUAGGCAGAAGUUAUUCAAUUGAGUAAAUGUUGUAUGUGCUACUCAUACGGCGCUCCCAUAGUAAUUUUCGAAAAGCCAUAAGGAAGCUCAUCAGAGCAUAUCCCCGUGUCUGUGUUUUAUGCUCUCUGCUUUGAUCCCUCUUCACGAGACCGUUCGCCACAUGCCUCAGCAUUCAAUGCAAUAGGGUAUCUGUUCACAUCUUACCGGGCAGCAUUAGAUUAUGAAUUUACGUGAUUUCUAAUACUGUCAGGUAAAGAUGUCGUCCGGGCCCUAAGUAUCAACACUGCCUACAUCAUAAAGGUGAUCACAAGUGUAUUUGCAAAUAGAAGGAGAAACCUUCGCAAGGGAAUAUAAAAUCUACAGGAUAAAAUAUUUACCUAAUGUGCUAAUUGAAAUCUAUUAGUGCUUCCACUUCCCCUUGGUUGACGAAUUCAUAAACUAUGAUAGGGGAUCAUGAGUGCGGUAUAAGUGUUUGAAAUGAAGACGACCUUUUCACAGAGUAUGAUCACGCAUAUGGCCAAAUAGACAAAGAAAGACACAUCAAUUAAGAACGAGGGAGCAAAGGAGAUACCACAAAAGUUAAAAUCAGCACAAAAGAGUAAUAAAAAAGCAACCACAUUAAUUAGAUAUCAUUAAAAUGGUGAUUUUUUUCUCUUCUGCUUCCAUGAGGCGAUAAUAUGUGUAAGCUCUAACCGAACUUAAGCACGUGGUCUACAAUGUUGCAGAAGAAGACGCGCAACAAUAAUACAUAAUUGUGAUAAACUUUCAAUUUUAUGCAGAUUUUUCCAUAAAUUUUCACUAUUUGUCUCGCAUUCUAUACGCGAAUCUCUCUUAAUUAAUUUUGAAAAAAAAAUCAUCUUGAUUACACACAUGUUCCGUCGUCUUCGUUGAAACUUUUUUCUCGCAUCCAAAAAAAAACAUGCGGGAAGAUCAUAUUUUUCCUCACCCCUCAUCACCACUGUCUCAUCGAAUAGAAAUUGUGUAAUUAUGCAAAUUUAGCAGUUUCCCAAGCAUUAUAAAUUCUUCGUGUGUGUAAUAAUUAUUUAAACAAAUUCGACAGUUAAUCGAUAAUUUACUUUUCCCUCCUUUUUAAUAAACCAUACACACAAAUGAAAUCAAAUAUUUUGGUACAUAGAGAAAAAAUCAACUGAUGUACAAAAAUAUAUGUGUACGAGGUGUUCCAAUGGAAAUAUGUAUAGGUAAAGUAUAAAAAAAAAUGUGUAAAGAAAAGUGGAGGAUGGGAGUUAAAUGAGAAACGAUGAAAUUCACUUUAAAAAUAAAUAGCCAUCAAAAUAAAUUCAAAAAUUUAUUAAUACAAUUACGUAAAAUGUUGCUGAAAGAGAGUUCGGUGAAUUGAAGAAAAAAAAAACAUUUCUUUCCACACUUGUGUCGUGUUUAAAAGAAAGAAUGAGUAACGUUUUGAAGAAGCAUUAGGUAUUUCUAUCUCUCCCCAACGACAAAUAUAAUAAUUUUAGUGAAGAAGCUUAAAAGAAGAGAAAUUCAAAAAUCUACACGUAUUGAAGAUAUUGUAUUUAUUUUCUAUUUUUAAAUGUCCACGAAAAAAUGCAAACUUGUGUAUAAAAUGAAAUUAAUAGAGAAACGUUGAUAAAGGAGCACAGGAAAA